rnacentral:tRNA from 2 species
GCUCCGUUCGUCUAGCGGUUAGGACGCCAGGUUUUCAUCCUGGUAGCAGGGGUUCGAUUCCCCUACGGAGUACAA